CCUACGGGAGGCUGCAGUGGGGAAUAUUGCACAAUGGGGGAAACCCUGAUGCAGCGACGCCGCGUGAGUGAAGAAGGAUUUCGGUAUGUAAAGCUCUAUCAGCAGGGAAGAAAAUGACGGUACCUGAUUAAGAAGCCACGGCUAAAUACGUGCCAGCAGCCGCGGUAAUACGUAGGGGGCAAGCGUUAUCCGGAUUUACUGGGUGGAAAGGGAGCGUAGACGGCAGCACAAGUCUGGAGUGAAAUGCCGGGGCUUAACCCCGGAACUGCUUUGGAAACUGUGCAACUAGAGUGCAGGAGAGGUAAGUGGAAUGCCUGGUGUAGCGGUGAAAUGCGUAGAUAUUAGGAGGAACACCAGUGGCGAAGGCGGCUUACUGGACUGUAACUGACGUUGAGGCUCGAAAGCGUGGGGAGCAAACAGGAUUAGAUACCCGUGUAGUC
rnacentral:rRNA from 1 species